rnacentral:rRNA from 1 species
UACACUCCUGCGGGAGGCAGCAGUGGGGAAUUUUGGACAAUGGGCGAAAGCCUGAUCCAGCAAUGCCGCGUGAGUGAAGAAGGCCUUCGGGUUGUAAAGCUCUUUUGUCAGGGAAGAAACGGUGAAAGCUAAUAUCUUUUGCUAAUGACGGUACCUGAAGAAUAAGCACCGGCUAACUACGUGCCAGCAGCCGCGGUAAUACGUAGGGUGCAAGCGUUAAUCGGAAUUACUGGGCGUAAAGCGUGCGCAGGCGGUUUUGUAAGUCUGAUGUGAAAUCCCCGGGCUCAACCUGGGAAUUGCAUUGGAGACUGCAAGGCUAGAAUCUGGCAGAGGGGGGUAGAAUUCCACGUGUAGCAGUGAAAUGCGUAGAUAUGUGGAGGAACACCGAUGGCGAAGGCAGCCCCCUGGGUCAAGAUUGACGCUCAUGCACGAAAGCGUGGGGAGCAAACAGGAUUAGAAACCCCUGUAGUCCCAUG